rnacentral:rRNA from 1 species
AGAGUUUGAUCAUGGCUCAGGACGAACGCUGGCGGCGUGCUUAACACAUGCAAGUCGAGCGGUAAGGCCUCUUCGGGGGUACACGAGCGGCGAACGGGUGAGUAACACGUGGGCGACCUGCCCUCAGCUCUGGGAUAAGCCUGGGAAACUGGGUCUAAUACCGGAUAUGACCUUCUAUCGCAUGGUAGUGGGUGGAAAGUUUUUUCGGCUGGGGAUGGGCCCGCGGCCUAUCAGCUUGUUGGUGGGGUGAUGCCUACCAAGGCGACGACGGGUAGCCGGCCUGAGAGGGCGACCGGCCACACUGGGACUGAGACACGGCCCAGACUCCUACGGGAGGCAGCAGUGGGGAAUAUUGCGCAAUGGGCGGAAGCCUGACGCAGCGACGCCGCGUGGGGGAUGACGGCCUUCGGGUUGUAAACCUCUUUCGACCUUGACGAAGCUUUCGGGUGACGGUAGGGGUAGAAGAAGCACCGGCCAACUACGUGCCAGCAGCCGCGGUAAUACGUAGGGUGCGAGCGUUGUCCGGAAUUAUUGGGCGUAAAGAGCUCGUAGGCGGUCUGUCGCGUCGGUCGUGAAAACCUGCAGCUUAACUGUGGGCUUGCGGUCGAUACGGGCAUGACUGGAGUUCGGCAGGGGAGACUGGAAUUCCUGGUGUAGCGGUGAAAUGCGCAGAUAUCAGGAGGAACACCGGUGGCGAAGGCGGGUCUCUGGGCCGAUACUGACGCUGAGGAGCGAAAGCGUGGGGAGCGAACAGGAUUAGAUACCCUAGUAGUCC